rnacentral:lncRNA from 1 species
UGAAUCUCUUAAUCUUCAUCAGAGAAUCUUCUAUGGAUGCUGAUUAUUAAUACAGAAACAACUGAUCAACAUGUAGAGAAUAAUGGGCUGUGAAAUGCUAAGCCCUAAAUGAAACAUCUAUAUCAUAUUCCCUCCUCCCAUGGACCAGAUAUCAUUGUGGAAGAGGAUUAAGGAGUGGAUCAAUUCAAGAGAACUUUGUCCUCUGGGUGAAGCAGGACAGUUGCACAUAUUAACUCAUAGCAAUUGUAACAGCAUACAGAAGAUCCAUGUAAGAUCAACAUGUAGAACUCACAGCUCCUUCUCCAGAACCAUGUAUGCCUGCAUGCCAUCAUAUCCUACCAUGACAAUGGACUGACCCUCUGAACUUAAGCCACCCAAUUAAAUGUUAAGUGUUACCAUGGUCAUGGUGUCUAUUCAGAAUAUUAGAAAUUCUAACUAAGGAUUCUCUGAAAUUUGAGAGGAGGGACUUGAUGGAGACAUCCCAUUUAGAGUUGUGUGUUCCAAAGUCUGUCUCUGGAGCCUUUAUCCGGUAGCUAAUAGAAGCAGAAGG